AAUGAACGCUGGCGGCAGGCCUAAACAUGCAAGUCGAGCGCCCUAGCAAUAGGGAGCGGCGCACGGGUGAGUAACACGUGGGAAUAUGCCUUUUGGUACGGAACAACCUCGGGAAACUGAGGCUAAUACCGUAUGGUCCCUUCGGGGUAAGAUUUAUCGCCAAAAGAGUAGCCCGCGUUGGAUUAGCUAGUUGGUAAGGUAACGGCUUACCAAGGCGACGAUCCAUAGCUGGUCUGAGAGGACGAUCAGCCACACUGGGACUGAGACACGGCCCAGACUCCUACGGGAGGCAGCAGUUAGGAAUAUUGGACAAUGGGCGCAAGCCUGAUCCAGCCAUGCCGCGUGAGUGAUGAAGGCCUUCGGUUGUAAG
rnacentral:rRNA from 1 species